UUAGAAAUGUUUUUUUCCGAAGGAGGAGACAGAGCACACGCGGAGCUGCGAGGGAAACGGGGACCCCGCACCCCACACCCCGCCGGCGCACGGCGGGUUCUCCUGCCUCGGAUGAAACGCCUCGGAUGAAACGCACACCGAUCCCUGCUCUCUCCCAGAUCUGCAGUCCCGCGCACAGAACGCAGCACCUCCCGGGAGAGCGCCUCGAAACUUCGUGAUCGGUUUUGCUCGGGGCUGAACAGCACGGGCGUUUGUGAAGUUCAGCUCUUUAGAAAAGCCAGCAGAGGCGAGGUCUCCACAGACGCAGAUCCAAGCGCGUCCAGGGUGGCCAGGGGGGGCCGCGCCCCAGAGGACGGGGACCGGCGCAGAGGGAAAGAAACGAGCCGGGCAAGAAGAUGAAAACCACAGCGAGGAGCAAGAGACUGAUUCUGCCUUCAGGUAGAGCGACCUGCGUGGAUACUCCCACUGAUUGGCUGUCUCAGGAGGAAGUUGGCUUCCCCACCUACCUGUUGUCCUGUCCGGGAGCUUCUGUCCCAGCUUCCGCUCUGGGCCAAGGCAGCUGCUGGGGAGGCUCUACUCCAAAACUCACGUGCUGCCUGGAGCUGAUGCCAACUGGUGGCUAACCUUGUGAAUUCGUUUCCUAAAGCCGACAGGACAGAAUCUUUAAGCUCACGGGGUUGGUAAGCCACAAACAAGCAGACAGUUUUUCUGAUCUACAAAUUUUCCAAACUCCCGGAAUCACCAUAUUUCUCCACUGGCAUAGAGGAAGAGGAUGAUGAAGAAUUAGCCUUCAUUGUUCGUGCCAAGAAACCCAGAUUAUUAUGAGAACUAGGUAAAAAGCCGCACUUUUUCUUGGAUUAUCUCGAGACAAUUGCCUGAACAUUUCCUGCUUACUUUUCCUGUUUGAACCUGGCUUUUGAGAUUAACAUGAGUUGAUCUGGUUUUCUGUGAUUCAGAAACGCACAGAACUUGGCAGGCAAAGAAAUACAAAGAGAGGAAGAAAAGGAAAGGGGAACAGGGCAGGAGUGGAGGAAGAUGGGCAGAACUUGAGAAGGCUUUAUAAAGUAAUAGAAUACAUCCCUUACCUUCUGGGGACAAAGGAGCAAAGCUGAUGGGAGGCAACAGACAGUCUCCUUCCCAAACCAUGAAAGCAAAAACACUCUACACCCCUCACUCCAAGGAGUGGCUCAGACCUCUUACUGGAAUCUCUGUGCAAUAAAAGAAAUUUUUUCUCUG